CUCGCCGCUCACCUGUUUCCCAUCUACAAUCAACCUUGCAGUGAAUAUAAACUGACUCUUCAUCCACUCUUCACCAGCUUGUCUGUGACCAGAUCCAGGAUGUUUCUUCAUCACUGAUGCUGCUGCUGCCCUUUGCUCUUGUUGAAGGAGGCGGAGUCCAACGUCACCUCCCCGCUCUGAUUGGAUCAGCGGACCUAUAACCCACACGUUAUUUAUUACUUUAAAAUGUGAACGUGGAACACGAUGCAUUGUUAAAGGUGCAGGAGAACGUGCAGAAGAAUCAAAAGGGGUAAAUAAGACUGUGAGGGUGCGGAACAGGAUCACUGUCUGUCAGCAGAAAGUCACGCUGGCUGACGACAAGCCAGGUUCUUGACAUGUCAACGCAAAGCCUGCAUCCAACCUGCACAGUUUAGCAUGAGAAAAAGCUCCACGGAAAGCAGAACAAAAGGUCAAAUGUCAAGAUAGUGUUCUAUUUACUGCUUGGUCUGAGAUGCAUUUAUGCAUUCAGUUUACUGGAGUGAGACUGGAAGCAUAAUACUAGAUAAAUAGAUGAUAAAUAGGCCAUUUGGGACCUUUUCCACUGUAAACGCCGACCUUUUCAUGAGAACCAGAUCUCCUAAUGAAGCAAAAUCUAAUGUCUGAGGUCUUUAGGGAUACGAUGUGACAUGAGGUCGGGUUACGGUUAGUGUGAGUUAUUAGUUCUUUAGGGUUAAAGCUUACCGUUAGACUUGGGUUAGGCUAUCUACACUGAAAGGAAGUCAAAUCCGAUAUCUGAUAAGAAUAGUGAUGCAAACCUGUGUGGGUGUGUGUGUGUGUGAGUGAGUUUGCAGUGGGACAGCACGACAGCCUGUUAUUACGGCCCAUGUGACUGACAGUGUGUGGGCGAGAAGGUAAUUGCUGAAGUAUGCCUGUGGUGACGAGGGCCUUCAGGGGAGCGGAUGUGCAGCAGACUGUGAGAGGCACACAGAGAGCGACGGCAAGCCCAGAACUGAUGACUCAUCUCUCACACCCCAUUCACUCCUGUUUGUUUACUCCUCUCAUCUCCAGCCGGAGCCAGAGCGGUGACAGACAGGGAACUGUCACCCAGUGAUUGGGCUGUCUUAAAGGAUUGCAACUCUUUAGACUUCAGGACAAAGCGGCUUAGUUUGAUCCAGGUCCACUCACCGUGUAAACAGCCUCCAGAGCAAACACGCUGUAAGCAUGUACUUACCGUGCACUUUGUCAGAAACUCUUACUAUCAGCGAGUAGUUCCUCCCUUUGCUUUCAAAACAGCCUCAGUUCUCUCAUGUCAUGGAAACAAAAAAAAGGAAAUGUUCCUUUAAUAGUCUGCUUCAUGUUGACAUGACUGCAUCACAUUAUUUCUGCAGAUUUGUCAGCUGCACAUUCAAUCUCCUGUUCUACCCCAUGUCAAAGGUGUUCUACUAGUUUCUGGUCAGGUCUGAGUUCAGUGAACUCACCGUCAUGAUCGUGAAACGGCUUUUUCUUUGUGACAUGGAGCAUUAUCCUGCACGAAGCAUCCAUCAGAAGAUGGUAAACUGUGGCUAUAAAGAGAUUAACAUGGGCGGCAACAAUACUCAGAUACCCACCAUGACUCCACCAGCAGCCUGGACUGUUGACACAUGGCAGGGGUGGAUCCAGGGGUGGGGGCAGGGGAGGCCCAAGCGGAAAUCUGGUAGACCUCUCACUAUAAUGUUGAUUCAUUUAAAAUGAUCUAGUAACUUACCAACAAUACAAAAAAUCUAACAAAUAUGACAGUUUGCUAUUUUCUAGGUUUUUUUGAAGCACACUGUGCUUAAGGAACCGAGAAUUUUCAAAAUAUAUUCAGUUAUGUGUGUCUUUGCUCAAAGCUAUAGAGCAAAUAUUGAACAAGGAAUAACUGAAAUGUUAGCUUGACUCAGUCAGUGCAUGGACGUUGACAUAUAAUUGUAGCACCUGUACAGCCCCUGAUUGAGAAAAAUCCUAGAUCCGCCUCUGCUCCAUAGAUCCAUGCUCCAGAUUGUGACUCUCAUCAGACCAGGGCUAUGUUCUUCAGUCUUCAACUGUCCAGUGUUGGUGAGUCUGUGUCACUGCAGCCUCACAUUUCUGUUCUUGGCUGACAGGAGUGAACCUGACAUGGUCUCUGCUGGUGUAGAACCACCAAGAGCCCGAUGAGGUGUAAAUUUAGGAAGGGUGAAGAGAACAGAAAGUGUUCUACAGAUCCUCUUUCUAUCUAUCAAUUCAAGAAACCUCUGUCUGUCAUCUCGGUCUGUGUCUUGCAUAUCUCGCAAACUGUUAUCUUAUCAGCUUCAUGCUUGGCAUGUGCAUUUGUAAGGGCCCAAGGAAGUGCAGUGUCAAAUUUGGUAGGAUUCGGACACAUGAUACAUUCAGUAAUAAUGAACCUGAAUAACCAGACGACCGGCGCUCUGUGGCAGCAGCGGCUGGUUCUCAUCAACAAAACUGACACUGUCGAUUAUGACAAGAGGCGUUUUUUCGACAAAUGAUUCUCCAGUUCAGGGUUCUGAGUCAAGCUUCACCAAACGGGUGGACAGCUCUUUGUGCAGCAGCAGUGCCGCGGCUUCCGUGUCAUGCGGACAAUUACUAAAAGUCACUUUUACAGUUUCAGAAAGAAAGCUGCAACCGGCAUCACCGCAGGCCAAACAAAUCCGAAACAGGCAGGGUCAGAACAGGCACUGCAGUAGUUCUUACAAAUGUGAUGGAUUUGAUAUCAAAUGAGUCUAGCGGGCUAUCAACAGCAGUCCACGACAUUCUGUAGCCAGGCAGCAUUUAAUUAUUUACUCUGUUAUAGUUUCAAAAAAAUGAUAUGAACCAACACCAUCUCCCUGCUUUCAAACCGUAGGUCAAUCUUACAGAACUUCAGAAGCGGGUGAUCGAUUGUGUAGGGCCGCACAAAUGAAUGGGAAGCAAUGUCUGGUGUAACCGCACCACAGAAGUGUGAGCUCAUAACGUGGAAUGUGAUUUGAGUCCCAUCUGUGGUUUAGUUCCAGCAACUAAAGCACUUUACUCAGGGUUUUGGGAAAGAUGAUGGUUUUGGUUCAGUGUAAAUAAACAUGUCAUAUCUGAAGUCAUUUUCUCUAUUUGAAGCCAGACUGUGAAAAAUGACUCCUACAUUCAGUCCAUACUUGCCAAACAUGCAGACUAUCAAAAAUAUGUCCUCAUUACGUUAAUAGAGAAUAUGGUUUGGUCCCAAUCAUGUGUUCUACUAGACAUAUUUGCUGUUGCCAAUUAGUUGGAUAUAAACAUCAUUUCCACAGGACAGAGCUGCUCUGUGGCUUUAUUAGGUUCACAUGUACAAUCCAGUGUAACG